UCAGCUAGAACUCUACGUCCACAUUUACUCAAAGCGCUGGUCAACCACAACACUUCAACUCCACACCUUAAAGCUUUGACGACCUGGCGGCGCUUUAUAUCCCUCUGUAGGAGCCUGUUCGGUCCCCGAUAAACCCCGAUCCCUUUCACCACCUCUUGUGCAUACCAUAUACCGCCAUCUACAGCAAACAAGA
rnacentral:rRNA from 1 species